ACUGAUUGAGAUUUUAACACGAAGUGAGUGGCGAACGGGUGAGUAACACGUGGGUAACCUGCCCAGAAGUAGGGGAUAACACCUGGAAACAGAUGCUAAUACCGUAUAACAGAGAAAACCGCAUGGUUUUCUUUUAAAAGAUGGCUCUGCUAUCACUUCUGGAUGGACCCGCGGCGUAUUAGCUAGUUGGUGAGGUAAAGGCUCACCAAGGCAGUGAUACGUAGCCGACCUGAGAGGGUAAUCGGCCACAUUGGGACUGAGACACGGCCCAGACUCCUACGGGAGGCAGCAGUAGGGAAUCUUCCACAAUGGACGCAAGUCUGAUGGAGCAACGCCGCGUGAGUGAAGAAGGGUUUCGGCUCGUAAAGCUCUGUUGUUAAAGAAGAACGUGGGUAAGAGUAACUGUUUACCCAGUGACGGUAUUUAACCAGAAAGCCACGGCUAACUACGUGCCAGCAGCCGCGGUAAUACGUAGGUGGCAAGCGUUAUCCGGAUUUAUUGGGCGUAAAGCGAGCGCAGGCGGUCUUUUAAGUCUAAUGUGAAAGCCUUCGGCUCAACCGAAGAAGUGCAUUGGAAACUGGGAGACUUGAGUGCAGAAGAGGACAGUGGAACUCCAUGUGUAGCGGUGAAAUGCGUAGAUAUAUGGAAGAACACCAGUGGCGAAGGCGGCUGUCUGGUCUGCAACUGACGCUGAGGCUCGAAAGCAUGGGUAGCGAACAGGAUUAGAUACCCUGGUAGUCCAUGCCGUAAACGAUGAUUACUAAGUGUUGGAGGGUUUCCGCCCUUCAGUGCUGCAGCUAACGCAUUAAGUAAUCCGCCUGGGGAGUACGACCGCAAGGUUGAAACUCAAAAGAAUUGACGGGGGCCCGCACAAGCGGUGGAGCAUGUGGUUUAAUUCGAAGCUACGCGAAGAACCUUACCAGGUCUUGACAUCUUCUGACAGUCUAAGAGAUUAGAGGUUCCCUUCGGGGACAGAAUGACAGGUGGUGCAUGGUUGUCGUCAGCUCGUGUCGUGAGAUGUUGGGUUAAGUCCCGCAACGAGCGCAACCCUUAUUACUAGUUGCCAGCAUUAAGUUGGGCACUCUAGUGAGACUGCCGGUGACAAACCGGAGGAAGGUGGGGA
rnacentral:rRNA from 1 species